AUGCACUGAGGUAUUCGUUAAGAUCGGUGGAAAAAACAUGCUGAUUGGAUACGUCACAUAUUCAUAGUGACCAAUGGGCAGGUCCCUGGAUGGCUUAAUUUACGAAAUUCGAAAGUUACUAUAGUAAAUCAUGAGGACAUAUUUGAUGAUCCCGACGAUCUCCCGACGUUUUGCGCACGUUGUAUUGAGCACAACAUAUAUAAAAUCAAUGGACUUUCUGAGGGAUUUAUAUAUAUGAAUGAUGACUUUUUAUUCGGUCAGAAUGUAUCACUUGAAGAUUUCUAUACAGAGGAAACUGGUACAAAGGUUGUCUUCUCGACAUGGACGGCAUCAACAGUUUGCGGUGGGAAAUGUACAGCAAGUCUAAUUAGGAAUGGUGUAUGUGACACUACAUGUAAUUACGACCAUUGCGCAUGGGACGGAGGUGACUGUGACGAAGUUCCUGAACGACUGAGACCGAAAGAUGACGGCACGUCUCAUUGUGAUUAUACAACUUCCAUAUUCUUUACGAACGCCUUAUACAAUAGGGCGUUCGGAACAAGAAUUCGGAAAGUCCCUGCACAUACGCCACUCUUUAUUAAAAAAACUGUGUUUCAAGAGUUCGUGA